UGACUAAUUUGAUUUUCAUAUUGACACAUUUGUAAAUGAUUCCAGUGAUAGUGAAAGUGAAUAUCAAGAAAUUAGUUUGAGGGAGGAGUGAGCAACUCAAUUUGGAAUAAGCUUUGUAGCAAUUAAUUCACUGCUCUAACUAUUGCGGAAAUGUAAUAUUUAAGUUCCAAAAGAUGCAAGGACCAUAUUAAAGACUCCUGCAACAGUAACUCAGAGAUAAGUUGGGGAGGGUACAAACGUACACUACGGAUUGACUGUUUUCUUAAUUAUUAAAAACUGAAAAUUUUCAAAUUUAGAUUUUAGAUUUCGGUAUUGAUGGCCUCCUUUUACUUAAAAGUGUUAGUGUUGCAGACACCAAAUAUGUUUUCCUCAUUGGCGUAUAAAAAUGAAGGUCAAAGCCAAAUUGUGUCAUUGAUUUCUUACCAGAAUUUAUUUCAGAAUUUAAUUUCACAGAAGGGCUUCAUUUUUUCUAAUAAUUUUUGUAAGAUAAUUGUUAAUGUCGGUAAGUCGGCAAAGUCGUAUAUUUUAGAAACUAAGGGGCAUAGUGGGUACUUUUUAUGUGGACGGUGUACACAAAAAAGUCAGAUGUUAAAACAUCGACUUAUUUUCGCACCAGAGUCCAACACUUUGGCUAGGACCAAUUAUUCGUUAAGAUAUAGAUCUUAGCCAGAACAUCACUUAAUGCAAUCUCCGUUAGAAAUGUUAAACAUUGUCACAGUGCUCCUUAAACUGUAUGCAGCAGUUUCCAUAAAUUUGGUCACUGGGAUUGGCAAAACUUCGUUCGGCGCCAUCAUUCUUGGUCAGCACCGAUUUGGCUCUGUGGGUAAUCGCAUUCCCAUUUCUGCCCUAACUCAGGAGCAUCCCUCUCUUGCUAACGUGGACGAAGUUGAUUCCUCUGCUGAGUUCUUAGUUGACCAGAUCCAUCAAGCUGCCCCUCCUGCUGGAAGUGUUCCUAUUCCUCCGCCAUCUUGGUAUACUUCGAAGCCAGAAAUUGCUGCCUUGGCCAGAAAAGGUCAUGCACUCCGCCGCGUCUGGAUGAGGACGAGGCAUGCCAUCGGCAUAGCAAGGUGGAAGGCUGCUGUGUCAGAACUCUCUUUUGGCCCUUCUGUUGAUGUGCGUCCAGUAGACGAGGAUGAGGUUCGUGAUCAUAGUUUCCACUAUGGCUCCUAGCAUAGACGCGAUUGACGGAAAGGUAGCAGAGGCUCUGCCUAGCUCAGUCAUUUCGCAGCUCUGCCAACUCAUUAAUGCCUUCCUAGACCUUGAUCAUUUUCCAGCCCCUUGGAAGCGUGUUCUAGUCACAAUGGUACCAAAAAAAGGAAAAGACCCGUGCUCCCCAGAUUCCUAUCGGCCGAUUAGUCUCCUAUCAUCUUUUUCCAAGAUUUUUAUACGGAUCAUGCUUGCUAGGCUCUUAGCAAUAGCUGCGUUUGAUGAAGCCCUUUCAGACCACCAGUUUGGCUUUCGAAGUCGUCAUUGUUCUGUUGAGCAAGUGCACUGAGUGGUAAAUCAUGUACUGGGUGCAUUGGAAGAUCGCAAAUGCUGCUCAGCAGACUUUCUUAAUGUUCGACAGGCCUGGAACAGGGUUUGGCACGAAGGUCUCCUUUACAAACUAAUGCCACUAUUGCCUGACGGAAUAUGGAAGCUAAUCGUGUCAUUCUGGGAUAAAAGGGCGUUUGCUGUCGACAUCCGUGGACAUCGUUCUGGACUACGCCCAAUUCGUGCUGGGGUCCCGCAAGGAAGCAUUCUGGGCCCAGUCCUGUAUACAGAUUAUACGUCGGAUUUUCAAAACCCAGUUGCACGCGGUACACUUCUGGCCACCUAUGCAGAUGACACUGCAUUUCUUGCAGUUUGUAGUACCCCAUCGCCUGCCUCCCGACGUGUCCAGACGCUCUUACAUAAUCUCGAGUUUUCGGCUUCUGAGUGGAACAUUGCACUGAACGUCGACAAAACGCAGCACGUCACAUUUACUCUCCGCCCUGGCCGUUCGCGUAGCCUCUACCGUCAUGGGAAUAGGCAUAAGCUUGAAGACAAGGUUACCUACCUUGGACACGGGAGUGCCGACGGUUAGCCGCUCAAAUCGAAACGGAGAUCGCUUGCUGCAUCACACGAACCGUCUGGCUAGACGUCUUGCUACACCAUUGGGUCGACGACGUCUCCGCAGACGGCACCCAGCGGACCUGUAGAAUAGUGUCCGUGAUAAACACGGACGCCUCCUAUAGCACUACUGACAAGCUUUUACCUGCCCUGCACUUAAUACCCGAAUGUUUGGGAUCUUUGAACACUCCCACGCAUACACGAAAACAAAGACCAACCUUGUGUGGCGUGUAAAAUAAUUAAUUGACAAAAAACACCACAAGUUCACAAUGUGAAAGAAUAGUUAUAGCAAUAGUAAUACUCCCCUUUAAAUAAUUUUGCAAUAUGUAGGUAAUGCAUGCAUUUAAAAAACAUUAUUUAGUUAAUAAAAACAAUAUUUAAGUGCAAUACCUGUAAAAUUUGGAAAAAAUGUACAAUUUGUUAUUGGAUAUGCAGAAUGAAAAUAGAUCUUUCAAGGCGGAUGUUUUAAAGCUUCAAAAGAUUAAGAAGGAAUUUAAAAAAUGUAUAGGCACAACAGGCGGUGAAGGACCUAAACAAUUUAUAAGGGCAGCCAUUCGAAGGAUAUUUACAGACGAAUUGCCUUCAUCUUAAAGCUGGAAGGGUACUAGCACUAAGCUAAGCGGCGAAAAGUGUUUCCUCGUCAAAAUUAUUAAAAGUACUCAAAAUUCAUUUGUAAUGAGAAGGACAUGAACUUCUGCAAAAGUUUUUUGUGGACGCAAAAGAACGUGGGUCAAAAUGAAGCGGUUUAAUAAUUUAUUUAAUGUUGUUAUAAUUUUCUAACGUACAGAAAGUAUUGUUUAUGUGAAAUAAUUUCUAAAAAAUUGUUUACAUGUUUUUUAAAAUAAACUACUGUAUAUUAGUUGUAAAAUAUCAGAAUAAAUAUAUACGUACUUUAUAAAUAUUAUAUAUUGUAAUGAAAGUAACCAAA